rnacentral:rRNA from 1 species
GGCGAACGGGUGAGUAACACGUGGGUGAUCUGCCCUGCACUUCGGGAUAAGCCUGGGAAACUGGGUCUAAUACCGGAUAGGACGAUGGUUUGGAUGCCAUUGUGGAAAGUUUUUCGGUGUGGGAUGAGCUCGCGGCCUAUCAGCUUGUUGGUGGGGUAAUGGCCGACCAAGGCGUCGACGGGUAGCCGGCCUGAGAGGGUGUACGGCCACAUUGGGACUGAGAUACGGCCCAG